UUACACGCAGCUAUUUAGGCAAGCUACUGUAUAGCAUUCACAGCGUAUCAUACAAGCAAGACACAGACAGGCGGUCAAUAGCGAUUUAAUGUUCAUUUUUAGUCAUCGUUGCAAACAUCGGCUAAACAGGAGGCAGACUGCUGGCUAUAUGGCAGCAUAACAAUAAAUAAUACAUCAUCACACAAGACGCUAAUCGUUUUGCUCCAUUGCAAUGUGAAAACAGCGUAUUGCUUGUGCUAUGGCAAUAUCCGUUGCAACAGAGGUCGUUGCCUUCAUAUAUUUUUUUGGAAUGUUCUUUCAAAUUGCAGCUGUUCAGAAAUACGAGGCAGAGAGAUAGGCCACAGAGGGUUCAGAAUAUGUGGAAACGCGAGGUCCAUGCGGAAAGGGUUUGUUGAGAUAUGUGUGGAAGAACUUGAUUGGCCUGCACAGAGCCCUGACCUCAACCCCAUCGAACACCUUAGGCGUGAAUUGGAACACCUACUGCGAGCCAGACCUAAUCUCCCAACAUCAGUGCCCGACCUCACUAAUGCUCUUUUGCCUGAAUGGAAGCAUGUCCCCGCAGCAAUGUUCCAACAUCUAGUGGAAAGCCUUCCCAGAAGAGUGGAGGCUGUUAUAGCAGCAAAGUGGGGACCAACUCCAUAUUAAUGCCCAUGGUUUUGGAAUGAGAUGUUCAACGAGCAAGUGUCCACAUACUUUGGUCAUGUAGUGUAUGUUUUAUUUUGAGACCUUAAUAAGGAGUAUCAGUUACUGCUGUUCACCAAUGGCAUGGCCAUCUUUUUGUAAGAAAUUACACUGGUCACUCAAAACAUUUCUAAAGUAUAAAUAGCCCACACUUUAGAUGAGGCCACGCAAAAAAAAUGAUGACUAAUGAUUAGUAAAUGGUUUAUAAGGACCUAUAUUAAACAUCUUAUCAAUGUAAUGAUUAAUAAAUGAUCAGCAAGGAUUUGCUAAUCUAUUAUAAAUACUUUAUUACGUGGUGUAAUUAUACCUUUCUGUUUUUCCAAAUAAAAGUAUCCAACCAUU